CGGAUAACCUACGCCACGCGAGACCUGAACAUCAUAUCAUAAUAUCUCCCCAUACGCCGGUACAACCAAUGCCACGUAUGGGGUUUGUCGACACGCCGGAUAACUUACGCCACGUGCGACCUCAACAUAAUAUCACAUAAUCUCCCCAUACGCCGAUACAACCAACGCCACGUAUGGGGUCUGUCUCAACGCCGGAUAACCUACGCCACGCGAGACCUCAACAUCAUAGUACAAUAUCUCCCCAUAUGCCGAUACAACCAACACCACGUAUGGGGCCUGUCCGCACGCCGGAUAACCUACGCCACGUCUGACCUAACUUUUACAGGGUGGUACUUGUAGUGUAACUAAAAUCCGGGGAGGUGCCUAAGGUAGUGCGUAUAGCACUCCAAACUGACAUUCUAGACUCUUUUUAUACCUUUGCAAACAUAUAUAAAUAUAUAAUUUAAUUAUAAUAUUGUGUAAACCUC
rnacentral:lncRNA from 1 species